AGAGUUUGAUCAUGGCUCAGGACGAACGCUGGCGGCGUGCCUAAUACAUGCAAGUCGAGCGGAUCGGAGGGAGCUUGCUCCCGAUGAUCAGCGGCGGACGGGUGAGUAACACGUGGGCAACCUGCCUGUAAGACUGGGAUAACUCCGGGAAACCGGGGCUAAUGCCGGAUAAUUCAUUCCCUCACAUGAGGGAAUGCUGAAAGACGGUUUCGGCUGUCACUGCAGGAUGGGCCCGCGGCGCAUUAGCUAGUUGGUGGGGUAACGGCCUACCAAGGCGACGAUGCGUAGCCGACCUGAGAGGGUGAUCGGCCACACUGGGACUGAGACACGGCCCAGACUCCUACGGGAGGCAGCAGUAGGGAAUCUUCCACAAUGGACGAAAGUCUGAUGGAGCAACGCCGCGUGAGCGAAGAAGGUUUUCGGAUCGUAAAGCUCUGUUGCGAGGGAAGAACAAGUACGGGAGUAACUGCCCGUACCUUGACGGUACCUCGUCAGAAAGCCACGGCUAACUACGUGCCAGCAGCCGCGGUAAUACGUAGGUGGCAAGCGUUGUCCGGAAUUAUUGGGCGUAAAGCGCGCGCAGGCGGUUCCUUAAGUCUGAUGUGAAAGUCCACGGCUCAACCGUGGAGGGUCAUUGGAAACUGGGGAACUUGAGUGCAGGAGAGAAGAGUGGAAUUCCACGUGUAGCGGUGAAAUGCGUAGAGAUGUGGAGGAACACCAGUGGCGAAGGCGACUCUUUGGCCUGUAACUGACGCUGAGGCGCGAAAGCGUGGGGAGCAAACAGGAUUAGAUACCCCAGUAGUCC
rnacentral:rRNA from 1 species